rnacentral:rRNA from 1 species
ACGGGAGGCAGCAGUUAGGAAUCUUGCGCAAUGGGCGAAAGCCUGACGCAGCAACGCCGCGUGGGGGACGAAGGCUCUCGGGUUGUAAACCCCUUUCAGUAGGGACGAAUCAAGACGGUACCUACAGAAGAAGCCCCGGCCAACUACGUGCCAGCAGCCGCGGUAACACGUAGGGGGCAAGCGUUGUCCGGAUUUAUUGGGCGUAAAGAGCUCGUAGGCGGUUCGGUAAGUCGGGUGUGAAACCUCCAGGCUCAACCUGGAGACGCCACCUGAUACUGCUGUGACUCGAGUCCGGUAGGGGAGCGUGGAAUUCCUGGUGUAGCGGUGAAAUGCGCAGAUAUCAGGAGGAACACCAGCGGCGAAGGCGGCGCUCUGGGCCGGAACUGACGCUGAGGAGCGAAAGCGUGGGUAGCAAACAGGAUUAGAUACCCUGGUA